rnacentral:tRNA from 1 species
GAGGAUAUAGCUCAGUGGUAAAGCGUGCGCUUAGCAGGCACAAGGUCCUGGGUUCAAUCCUCAGUACCUCCA